AAUAAUUACACUAACCCCCUCUAUCUCUAGAACAAAAAGAACAACCGCUCUUCCGAUUUAGGGCUUCCCUUCUCUUCGCCGGUUCGCCUCCUCUCUCUCUCUCUCGAUCUCGAUAGAUGGAGAUGGAAGCGAAGGAGGAACAAAGAGAGAACGAAGUGAUUCCUUCAUCGGACGAGAGCCGUUCCGUCAGCGAUGACCAUCAUCUUGUGCUUUCCGGAGUCUGGAUUGGAUUGAUUUCUCAGGUAAGUAAUAAAUCUUAAAAUAAUCUUUGUAAAUGUAAUUUUUGGUUCUAGAGCUCGACUUCUUGAAGUGAUUACUACCAAAAUCGAUCGUUCUUCAUGCCUUCUUCGUAAUAGACCGAUUCGAGCUCGAAACAAGCAUAAUCGAAGGCUGAGAUGCGCGAUUUGGGUUUGAAAAGGUCCACAUGGUGUCCGAGAGUACUCAAAUCGUUGGAAUACAGUUCGAAUUAGGUGCGAAAAACUUUGAUUCAGCGAAAUAGGGCUAGAUUUAGGGCUACGAAGCCUGGCUGGCUGUGAUAUGGAGAUUUAGGGUCCCGAUUUGGCAAUUGGUUCCAGCUCGCCUUCGAAGGUUGGUUGUGAUGCUUUGGAUUUUUAGGCUUAUUCUUGUGUGUGUGUGUGUGUGUGUGUGUGUGCCGGUUGCGUUUUUAGGUGGUUUAUGUGAGUUCGGUUUGUUUUUGUGACCAUCAAAUUCUGUGUGUUUCCUGGGUGCGUUUUGAGGUGCUCCGGCUGUUGUUUCUCUGCAAUUAUCUGUAUGUUUCUCGAUGUUUUCCUCUCUUUUUUUCUUUUCGCUCCAACGGAUCUAGGUUUCACUGGUCAGGGAUGGGUAUCUACUUAGGGUCGCGAUGAAGGAUGGUUUGGCGAGGGCACAAAAAGCUUGGUUUGGUGUUACGAAAUUAUAAAAUCCUUACUUUGGCUAUGGAAUUACUUGUAUAAAUUCUGUGUUUGUGAAUACUAGUUCCUGAAAAUCCAUCGUCAUGCUAACAUUUUGGUCACUAUGUAGGCACAAAACAAGAAAGGAGAAGGGAUUCAAACUGCGCAUUUCGAAAUGUUGAGUUGUACUCAAAGUUGGUGGAAAACGGGACACAUGCAAUGUUUUCGGGUGCGCUGCAUGUGUUAGAGCACGGAAGCAGUUGAGCAUACACGAGGCGCCGAAUAUCUUGACAAUUGUUUUGAAGAGAUUUCAAUUUUCAGGUACUAUUAUCUGCUCUAGGUCUACAUUGUUUUCUGAAGUUCUUUUCAUUACGACAUUAAAGGUAUUAUGUUGGUGAGUAUGAUGUAAGUUGCCCUUUCCAAUUACGUGUGACUAAGACAUGACUGUGGUGAUUUGUAUCUCUCUCUCUCUAUGGUGCGUGUGUGUUUAUACACUUAAUUAGCUUGACUUGACUUGACUUGUCAGCUGUAUCUUGUUGUUACUGUAGUAAUUCUUCGCCUCUAUCAUUUUAUUUUCUCCUUAGGUAACAAAAGUUUCAUACUAGAUUCAACAUUUUGUUACUAUCACUCAUCGGGGUGUAUACUUAUCCGGGCAGAUUCAACAUUCUGUUACUAUCACUUUGAAUGAUUCUCAAAUGUUCCCAAGUCAUUCCCUCUCCUACCUUUUUAUUAUUCAACAUGGAUAAGAGUUGGAUAAAUUUGCCUAGGUUCGAUCUAAGAUACCUACAAUGGGUCAUAAAUUUUAUGGAAUUUGCAUGUUAGAACAUUCUUGAUGGGCAAACAGAAAUUGCUUGUCCUUGUAAGAAAUGCCAUAAUGUGGCUAGAGUGAAGAUGGAUUUAGUAAAGGAACAUGUCAUCUGAAUAUUGUAUGGUUUUAGAUGGUUUCUUGGUCAUUCUUUAUGAAAAAGCCAAAAUUCUAUGAAAUUGGAAUAUCAUGAGAGAGCCAAGCAAUGGAAAUGGUUCGCUAUCAAUCAAUACGAGUGAGACAAAUUACCCCUUUUACCCAAAAAGGAAUGAGAGAGGGACUUUCGAGGAGAAUGACAAUUUCCUCUAUUAAUCGCCAACGGGUGCUUUUCCAUUACCAUGCAUAUCACCAUUAGAAGGUACUGGUGUAAUGCUUGUUUGUGCUAGUGGAAACAUGAAAGCAACCAUUACGGUGAGUGAUUUUGUUUUGUUCUUUAGUUUAAAUUUGCACUCGUCUUUGGCUUUUCCUUAUGAAUUCAUUACUGUCUUUGUUUUGCAGCUUGGUUUCUCUUAGUUUAUUGUAACAAAAUCCUCAUAGAGUUGGUGUAAAGAGUAAAUAUUGAUUUAGUUUUGGUAUCCCUGAACAGUCGAAGGGUUAGUGAAAGAAUGGCCUCAUUACCCUACCCACAAUCAAAGGGUUGGAUGUAAAAAAGCAUCAAUUGUUAAUGGGGCUCUUCUCAAAAACCGUUGGGGUACGAAAGAUGUAAUACUUGGUAUUGUCUCUCUUCUCUCUAUAGAUUAUUAGUGUACAAUUGGAGCUUCAACUCUAUAAGCAAUCUGAUCAUGUAGAGAAAAAUAUUUAUCACAAUCCCACAUUUUUCUUUUUUCAUGUCAUUGACUAGAAAAGUCUGUUAGUUGAAGUGAAGUCCAUUAAAUAAAUGAGGGACAAUUAGAGUCAAAGUUUAUACUAAUGGUACCCAAAGCAACCAUGUAUCUUGUGAUUUUGAGAGUUGUGUUUGGUUCUUCAAUAUGUAGUUCUCAGAGCCCAUGGUAUGCAACAGAUACAUAUGGAUGUGCUGAUUUGUUUAUGGAUAUAUCACUUCAUAUUUAAACUGCAUUUUGUGAGUUUGUAGGGUGGAGUGUUGUGAGAUAGGAUCUGCAUUUUGUUGCUUUACUUACUCUACCUGUUGUGGUCUUCUUUUGUUAUUGUUCCUUUUGUGGGUUGAUUCCAGUUAGUAAGCAUGAUUUGAGGUCAACUAUUAUUCAUUUAUGUGAUUGUCUAUUUUCCAGACUUAAUAAGCACUAAUUACAGAUACUUGCCACAUUUACAGACCAUGUUCGCGGUUGAUCAGUACUGAGGGUGGAGUCCAAUGCACAGUGAUAUGCCUUACCCAAGAAACAAAUGUCUUCCACUCCCUGCAUAUUUAGGUACUUUUUGGGUCGGUUUUAUGAAUACAAAGCACUUUCAAUAUGAAAAAGAAAUCCAGACUAUCACGUGCUUAUUUGAUAUGGGCGUCUAAAAAUCAUGAAAGGCAGUAAGCAGAUAGUUGCCUUUUCAGUUAGGUAUAUCUAUUGCUUGAAUUUCUGUUUAAGUAUCAAUUCAAAAUAAUUCCAUCUAUUGCUUGUGGCAUUUUUGUUUUAUGUCGAUUGUCGGUUCUUUUCCAUUCGUGGUUUUAUUAAGAUAAAUUAUACACGUGGAUGGAAGUAAAGGAUGCUUUUUAUAACAUCUGUAUUUGGCGUGUUUUGGAUGGAUUUUGUUAUGCAAUAUGCUUUAGAGUAAUUAUAAUGUGCAAGAGUCUUCUAUUUUGUCGGGCCUUUUUGGCAACCAUUGUGGUGGAGAACAUACAUGAUGCAAUGUACUUGAGUUCCAUUUCAUUGGAAAAUUGCAAGUGUGGAACUGCAGGGGGUUUGGUGAACUUCUUGGGUACAAUGGAAUCAAGGUAGAUUAUAGGUGAAUGUUCUGGUGUAUCCAUUUGUAUGGUACCGAGAAAUGAGCAGCUAAUUUUCCAUAAAUAUAAUUUAAUUUCCUUUCAGGUCAAUUAUAAAAUUUUAAGCACUUCUGCCUACCUCUUGCAGGUGGCUCUUCCUCGAGAGUCUUCCACUGGAAAGAGAUUAAAGAUUUGGGUUGCUAGUUUUGCUAGUUUAGAUUGCAAAUAACCAUGUUUUUUUUAGGAAUGCAAGCCUUCCUUUAUUCUGUUAACUUUUUUUUAAUUAUUUCUCCUCCAUCAGUUUAAACUAAUUUCUCUUUUCUAUAUGAUUCUUAGGGUGUCCGGGAAUCUCAUCCAUGUUUGGCAGAAGCAAUACUAUAGUUCCAUGGUUGAAGAAUUUUUUUUCUUUAUCCUAGUUGUGCUUUGUGUGAAUGUAGAUUGUGGACAUGAUGUAAUAUGAUGUUGGGAUGUUGCUAAAUUUUUUGUUAGAUAUUUCAAUCCUAUGGAUUAUUAAUGAAUUUGAAUGGGUAUAUGAGUAUUCCUC